UUAUGAUCAUAGCUACAGUCAGCAGACAAUAAGCUAUGGACAAAACAUUCCUACUCCAACACAAGAACAACAGACGACAUAUGGAAAUUCAAGUUAUGGGUAUGCUACUGUAUCAUCUCAACCAGAUGGGGCAGUUUCCUCCCAAUCAACUCGAGUGGCACCACCUGCAUAUCCACCUACUGCUUAUAGUCAAUCAGUGGCCAAUCCUCAAACAUACUGGAAUUCUUCAAGCUACACUGGACAGCAACCACAAAUGGUGUAUGAUCAAACAGGGUACUCCCAAACUUAUGGAGGGCAAACUGCUUAUGGAGGGAUGCAACCAGGCCAAGUCCCUCCCCCAUCAACUUGGCCAAUUUAUGGACAAGGCGGAUAUCCUCUUCCGGAAUCUGCUGCAGCAGCAAAUUAUGUUCAGGAGACACAACCCCAGUCACAGCCAUCAAACAAUGGUCAUU
rnacentral:misc_RNA from 1 species